UAAGAUGAACAGAAAAAUUGCACUAAUUUUGGGAGCCUUGAUAACUCUCUCAGUGGAGACAGACUCCAGCCCUACAGAGUCUCCUGUUUAUGGCCAAAAGGGAGCAUCUGUUCAUCUCACAGUGGAGGGUCUUCAACGUUUACAGAUCAUAAGAAUAACAUGGAAAUAUAAUAAUACAGACAUAGUGGAACACACACUGGAUAGUAGUCCUUCAUAUUACAACAAAAAUUAUACAGAGAAGAUACAGUUUGACAGUAGCGACUUCUCUCUGCUCAUUAAGAAACUAGACGAGACAAACCGGGGCAUCUAUACUGCCACAAUAAAAGAUAAAAAUAGGAUGGACUUUGUAAAAGCCAAAUACCACUUACAUGUACUAGAGGCUGUUUCCAAACCAGCACUUUCAUUAAGCUCUGCUGAAGGAUUCUGCACUGUGUCAGUGAACUGCUCUGUGAGGGACAGCUGGGUCUAUUACACCUGUAAUCAAACCCAGUGCUCACAGACAGAGCCCCAAUCCUGGCCAGAUGUGAACAUCACUGUCACUGUUUAUAAUGGAAACAUCACCUGCACAGGCAGUAACCGGGUCAGCAAGGAGACCCAGUCAGAACCACUGGGACAUGCAUGUGAGGGUAAGGCGGCUAACGCCACUUCUGCGUCUUAUCAUCAUGGUACAUUUGGCUGGUGGUACCUGGCAUUGUCUGCCUCUGCAUUGGUUUCAUCCAUUUCAUAAGACGCCAUAACAGGCAUACAAGAAAUUCAGAGGGGGCGAUGGGCCCGGAUGGAGCAAACACUAUGUACGUGGUGCCACCAACCGCAAACAGAGCAUCUUCCCCAAAUACCCCCCAGGAUAACACUGUGUACUGCACUGUGGGACACCCAAAGGACCUGCCCCCACGAACACCCCGACCAGCUCACUGUGAUGACAUGAGUAUUUACAGUCAGGUGAAAAAAUAACAUGGACUUUUCUGCAGAAUGAAAGCUGGCUGGAACUUUUUAGCUCAUGCCUGUGAUGCUACUUCCUUUGCAGUGGGUCUGUCUGUACUGUGAAUAUUCAUGCACUUUUCAGCUCAUGCAUGUGACAUGUCCUGCUUAGCAAAGAGUCUGUGUGCACAUUGCGAUGCAUCAGAGUGUAAAAGCUCUGUGAUGUGUUACCUGCCAACAUGCAUGAGGAGGUGAUUUGUACAUUAAUGUCAGUGUUAAUCAUCUGCACUAAGUAUGAUGCAUUUAUAACUGUUUAGCAGAUGUUUGUUAUCCAAAGAGACAUCCAAUAAAACAGACAGCAGGCAGUCCUUAGAGCUAUUGGGUUUAAUGUCUCAGCUCAGGGUUUGAAGCCGUUUGCUACUGAGUCCUAACGGACUGAUCCACACCAACAGCGUGUUCGUGUGUCAGGGAGUGAGUUUGUCUGGCUAGGAGUUUAUACAUCAAGCUGUGUGAGUAUUAGUGUGUAAGAAAUCAUGCCAGCAUUGCUGGGACAGAUGACUGCAAGUUCUGUUUAUGGCGGAAAAAAGUUAAUUUCAGUAUUUAAUUUUGCAGUUAUUUUGUGCUCUUCAACAUUCAUUAAAUGGUUAUUAAGGACUC